rnacentral:misc_RNA from 1 species
UACGGAGGUUGCGAGCGUUGUUCGGAAUUACUGGGCGUAAAGCGCGUGUAGGCGGUGGCGUAAGUCGGGUGUGAAAUCCCCGGGCUCAACCCAGGAACUGCGCCCGAAACUGCGCCGCUGGAGUACGGGAGAGGGGAGUGGAAUUCCUGGUGUAGAGGUGAAAUUCGUAGAUAUCAGGAGGAACACCCGCGGCGAAGGCGACUCCCUGGACCGAUACUGACGCUGAGACGCGAAAGCGUGGGGAGCAAACAGG